rnacentral:rRNA from 1 species
UACGUAGGAGGCAAGCGUUGUCCGGAAUUACUGGGCGUAAAGCGCGUGUAGGUGGUGGGACAAGUCUGCUGUGAAGGCGCCUGGCUUAACCGGGCGAGGUCGGCGGAAACUGUCCGACUCGAGGACGGUAGAGGGGGGUGGAAUUCCCGGUGUAGUGGUGAAAUGCGUAGAGAUCGGGAGGAACACCUGUGGCGAAAGCGGCUCACUGGACCAUUACUGACGCUGAUGCACGAAAGCUAGGGGAGCAAACAGG